rnacentral:lncRNA from 1 species
ACAAGACUUGUUCUGAUUCCAACCCUUUUCAGACCCUUAUAAUUCCUCAACGUUGCAAGCGAAAUCAAAGAAGAAGAAGAAGAAAGCCUUAAUGAAGGAGAGGAAACAGGUAAAGGAAGUGACUUUACCAAUCAGAGUAGUUGACACAGUUUCAUUGUUAUUAAUAUUAUGGAGAAAAUGGAUAAGUUUUGAGGUGAGUGAUGAAUGAAACGUUUCAAUUCAACAAUAUUAUACAUAGAAUGUUGUUGUUUUCACAUUUAUAAUAGAACUGAGACUAGACAUUGUUGUUUCUGAAUCUGGUUUC